rnacentral:tRNA from 1 species
GUUUUUAUAGUUUAUAAUAAAAUAUUACAUUGAAAAUGUAAAGAAAAAUUGAUUAAAAACA